rnacentral:rRNA from 1 species
UCAGACCGGUGUAAGCCAGGUCAGUUUCUAUCUUCUAAUAAAUAUUAUACNGUACGAAAGGNCCUAUAAUUAUAAUUAAAUUAUAAAUUUAGCAAAUAAAUGCNUUAAAUUUAGAAUUUAAUUAACCAAAAAUCAUAAUCUUCUCUUUAUUAAAUUUUUUAAUU